CCCGCCUCAGUACCGGGCACGGCUCUACGGCUGCGCGAAGUCGCGAACCCGGAAGUGCCUUGGGACUGGGCUGGCGUGAACUACAAUUCCCAGAAGGCUCCGGGCGUGAACGACAAUCCCCAGAAGGCUUCGCGGCGGCGGCGCCCUCGGAGGGGUUUCCAGGAGAGGGGCCUUGGCACCAACCCACAUGCAGUGCCCUAGCGGUGACUCCUAGUGACCCCAUAGGACACUCGUGGGUUUCCGAGGCUGUAACUCUCUGCGGGAGUAGCAAGUCUCAUCUUUUCCCUGCGAAGAGGCCGGUGGUUUCAAACCGCUGACCUUGCUUAGCCGCCUAGUGUAACCCACCACAAAGGUUCCCCUGUUAAAUACUUAAACGUCUAACACGUCGUUAACCAGCCCAACUUCCCAGGGUGGCUUGGGAGGAAAUUGUGUUAUUUCUACCCACUUGGGAGCCCUGGUGGCAAGUGGUCACGCGCUGGGCCGCAAUCCGAGCCAUCAACUGCCCCAUGAGGGCAAGACUACUUAUUACUACUGGGAAGUGGUACAAUGUUGGGUCACCGAGUCGGCAUUGACUCAAUGGCAGUGAGUGUUUUAGAUUUUUUUUAAAUUCUUGCCCACCUGAAAUAAACUGAAAGAGCCCUGUUACAUGGAAA